ACUACUAGAUGUGGUUGCAAGGCAACACUCAGGUUACAUCUCAAUGAAAAUUCAAAAUGGUAUGUCAAAGUUUUUCGGGAGGAACACAACCAUGCCCUUGUGGAAUCUUGCAGCGAGAAGAAGCACCUGCAUUCACAUCAACAUAUUGACAAGCCAAUCAGAGACUUAAUAAAGAAUCUUCGAGAGAACAACGUAUCACUAACAAGGGUUAAUUCUAUAGUUGCUGGUUUUUAUGGAUCAACAAAGAAAGUUCCAUUCUGUAAGCGGAAGUUACGUACUGUUUGUUCACAGAUUGCUAGUGAAACGCUUCAGGACGACAUAGCUAAAACACUAGAGAACUUCCGUGAUAUGAUAGCAAUGGACGAUAGAUUUGCUUUCUGUGCACAGGUGGAUGAUGACAAUAGGCUAAAGUCACUAAUGUGGACUACUGGAAGGAGUAGAUCAUUAUAUAAUCACUUUGGAGAGUGCAAUAACUUUUGA
rnacentral:rRNA from 1 species